UACGGAGGGUGCAAGCGUUAUCCGGAUUCACUGGGUUUAAAGGGAGCGUAGGUGGGCUGGUAAGUCAGUGGUGAAAUCUCCGGGCUUAACCCGGAAACUGCCGUUGAUACUAUCAGUCUUGAAUAUUGUGGAGGUAAGCGGAAUAUGUCAUGUAGCGGUGAAAUGCUUAGAUAUGACAUAGAACACCGAUAGCGAAGGCAGCUUACUAAAGUAUGAUUGACGCUGAGGCACGAAAGCGUGGGGAUCAAACAGG
rnacentral:rRNA from 1 species